CUACGGGCCGCUCCAGUGAGGAAUCUUGGACAAUGGGCGAAAGCCUGAUCCAGCGACGCCGCGUGGGUGACGAAGGCCUUCGGGUUGUAAAGCCCUGUCAGAGGGGAAGAAGUUCUGACGGUACCCUCAGAGGAAGCACAGGCUAACUCCGUGCCAGCAGCCGCGGUAAUACGGAGUGUGCAAGCGUUGCUCGGAAUCACUGGGCGUAAAGGGCGCGUAGGCGGCUUGGUAAGUUGGAUGUGAAAGCCCUCGGCUCAACCGAGGAACUGCAUCCAAAACUGCCUGGCUAGAGUACGGAAGAGGAAGGCGGAAUUCCCAGUGUAGGGGUGAAAUCCGUAGAUAUUGGGAAGAACACCAGUGGCGAAGGCGGCCUUCUGGGACGAUACUGACGCUGAGGCGCGAAAGCGUGGGGAGCAAACAGGAUUAGAUACCCCCGUAGUC
rnacentral:rRNA from 1 species